rnacentral:tRNA from 1 species
AAAUUAGUUUAUCAAAAACAUUAAAUUGCAAAUUUAAAAUUAAUUUUGAAAUCAAUAUAUGAUG